CCUACGGGAGGCAGCAGUGAGGAAUAUUGGUCAAUGGGCGCGAGCCUGAACCAGCCAAGUAGCGUGAAGGAUGACUGCCCUACGGGUUGUAAACUUCUUUUAUAAAGGAAUAAAGUGAGGCACGUGUGCCUUUUUGUAUGUACUUUAUGAAUAAGGAUCGGGUAACCCCGUUCCAGCAGCCGCGGUAAUACGGAGGAUCCGAGCGUUACCCGGAUUUAUUGGGUUGAAAGGGAGCGUAGAUGGGUUGUUAAGUCAGUUGUGAAAGUUUGCGGCUCAACCGUAAGAUUGCAAUUGAUACUGGCAGCCUUGAGUACAGUUGAGGUAGGCGGAAUUCGUGGUGUAGCGGUGAAAUGCUUAGAUAUAACGAAGAACUCCGAUUGCGAAGGCAGCCUACUAAACUGCCACUGACAUUGAUGCUCGAAAGUGUGGGUAUCAAACAGGAUUAGAUACCCGAGUAGUC
rnacentral:rRNA from 1 species